rnacentral:ncRNA from 1 species
UUGACAAGGAUGGAAGAGGCCCUUGGGCCUAACAACACGCAUAUGGUUAAGGCAUUGCCACCUACUUCCUGGCAUCUAACCAAAGGGCCUUUUU